rnacentral:rRNA from 1 species
UACGGAGGGUGCAAGCGUUAUCCGGAUUCACUGGGUUUAAAGGGUGCGUAGGUGGGCAGGUAAGUCAGUGGUGAAAUCUCCGGGCUUAACCCGGAACUGCCGUUGAUACUAUUUGUCUUGAAUAUAGUGGAGGUGAGCGGAAUAUGUCAUGUAGCGGUGAAAUGCUUAGAUAUGACAUAGAACACCCAUUGCGAAGGCAGCUAACUACGCGAUCAUUGACGCUGAUGCACGAAAGCGUGGGGAUCAAACAGGA